rnacentral:rRNA from 1 species
GUCUUUCUAGAAACACUUUCCAGUACCUCUACUUUGUUACGACUUAUUUCAAUUUAUGAAUGAAAGCGACGGGCAAUAUGUACAUAUCUUAAUUUUUAAUCAUUUUAAUAAAUUAAAUAAAAUUACAUUUAAAUCCACUUUCAAUUUAAUCUUUCAAUUAAAAAUUCAUUUAAAUAAAUUUAUUGUAAUCCAUUAUAUUCUUAAUUAUAAUCUGCAUCUUGAUCUGAUUUAAUUUUUAUUUUAAAUUUUUAAAUAUUAAAUUUCUUAAAAAAUAUUUUUUUAACAACGAUAUACAAAAUUUUUAAUUAAGUAAAAUUAUUCGUGGAUUAUCAAUUAAUAAACAGAUUCCUCUAAAUGAACUAAAAUACCGCCAAAUUAUUUAAGUUUCAAUAAAUAAUUAUAUACUAUUUUAAUAUUUAAAUUUAAAUUUUUAAUAAUAGGGUAUCUAAUCCUAGUCUAUAAUAAAAUUUAUUAAUUCAUAAUUAUUAAAUAAUUUUUAAUUAAAUUAAAAUUUCACCUAAUAAUUUAAUAUUUAAAUUAAUAAAAAUGUAUUCAUUAAUAUCUAAUAAAAUUCAAUUUAAUUUUUGUAUAACCGCAACUGCUGGCACAAAAUUUGUUAUUAAUUUCAAUAUUACUAAAUCUUAAUUUCUUAAAUUUUUAAUAUUAAUUACUACAUAAAAAUUUAAUUAUUAUUAAAAUAAUUAAAAUAAUAUACUAAAAUUUAUAUGUAAAAUAAAUUUAAAAAAAAUUCCAAAAAUCAUAAAAAAUUUAUUUAUAA